rnacentral:rRNA from 1 species
CCUACGGGAGACAGCAGUGGGGAAUAUUGCACAAUGGGGGAAACCCUGAUGCAGCGACGCCGCGUGAGUGAAGAAGUAUUUCGGUACGUAAAGCUCUAUCAGCAGGGAAGAAAAUGACGGUACCUGACUAAGAAGCCCCGGCUAACUACGUGCCAGCAGCCGCGGUAAUACGUAGGGGGCAAGCGUUAUCCGGAUUUACUGGGUGUAAAGGGAGCAUAGACGGCAGCGCAAGUCUGGAGUGAAAUCCCAUGGCUUAACCAUGGAACUGCUUUGGAAACUGUGCAGCUAGAGUGCAGGAGAGGUAAGCGGAAUUCCUAGUGUAGCGGUGAAAUGCGUAGAUAUUAGGAGGAACACCAGUGGCGAAGGCGGCUUACUGGACUGUAACUGACGUUGAGGCUCGAAAGCGUGGGGAGCAAACAGGAUUAGAUACCCUUGUAGUC